rnacentral:rRNA from 1 species
CCUACGGGAGGCAGCAGUAGGGAAUUUUCGUCAAUGGGCGCAAGCCUGAACGAGCAAUGCCGCGUGAACGAGGAAGGUCUUCGGAUCGUAAAGUUCUGUUGAAAGGGAAAAAGAGCGGAGAGAGGAAAUGCUUUCUGAUUGAUAUUACCCUUCGAGGAAGUCACGGCUAACUACGUGCCAGCAGCCGCGGUAAUACGUAGGUGGCGAGCGUUGUCCGGAAUGGUUGGGCGUAAAGGGUGCGUAGGCGGCCUGCUAUGUCUGGAGUGAAAGGUACCGGCUCAACCGGUACAGGCUCUGGAAACUGGCGGGCUAGAGAGCAGGAGAGGGCGGUGGAACUCCAUGUGUAGCGGUAAAAUGCGUAGAUAUAUGGAAGAACACCAAUGGCGAAGGCGGCCGCCUGGCGUGUUACUGACGCUGAGGCACGAAAGCGUGGGGAGCAAAUAGGAUUAGAUACCCUAGUAGUC